ensembl:lncRNA
CCAAGCCAAGUUCUGUCCGAGAUCGAAGAGACGGCCUCUCACACCAAGUUCCUGUCUGAGGUCGAACAGGUGACCUCCCAUGCCCAGUUGCUGUCUGAGGUCGAACAGGCGACCUCUGAAGCCCAGUUCCUGUCUGAGGUCGAAGAGAGAACCUCUCAAGCCAAGUUCCUGUCUGAGCUCGAGGAGAUGACCUCUCAAGCCAAGUUCCUGUCUGAGGUCAAAGAGACAGCCUCUCACGCCAAGUUCCUGUCCGAGGUCAAAGAGACGACCUCUCAAGCCAAGUUCCUGUCCGAGGUCAAAGACACGACCUCUCAAGCCAAGUUCAUGUCCGAGGUCGAAAAGACGGCCUCCCAAGACGGGUUCCAGUCUGAGUUCGAUGAAGUGACCUUUCACGCCAAGUUUCAGUCUGAGAUUGACGAUGUGACCUUCCACGACAAGUUCCAGUCUGAGAUCGACGAGGCGACCACCCACACCAAGUUCCAGUCCAAGGUCUCUAACAUGGACAACCAAGUUAUGCUCACACCUGAGUCUGCUGACACGACCAACCAAGUUCUC